GCUGAGGUGGGCAGAUUGCUUGAACCCAGAAGUUCGAGACCAGCCUGGGCAGCAGGGUGAAACUCUGUCUUUACAAAAAAAAAAAAAAAAAUAGCCAGGUGUUGGGGUGUGUGCCUGUAGUCCCAGCUACUUGGUAGGCUGAGGUAGGAGGAUUGAGGUGGAGGCUUCAAUGAGCUGUGAUUGCACCACUGCACCCCAGCCUUGGUGACAGAGCAAAGGAAAAAUAAAACUUAAAUUUUUUUCCAACAUACAUACCGAAGUAUUUAGAGAUGAAGUAUUUAUUUUGUCUGCAACUUACUUUCCAAAGUUGGCAACAAAAAAAAGUGUGUGCAUAAAAAAAAUAGAUACAUGGAGAAAGAGAGAGCAUGUAAACGAACAUGGCAAGAUGUUAACAAUUGGUGAAUCUCUAGGUUAUGUGGGUGCUCACUGCACUAUUCUUUUAAAUUUAUUUUUAUUUUUGUUGUUUUUCAGAGACAGGGUCUUGCUCUAUCACCCAGGCUAGAGUGUAGUGGCACCAAGAUAGCUCCCUGCAGCCUCAAACUCCUGGGCUCAAGUGACGCUCCCUUCUCAGCCUCCCAAGUAGCUGGGACUACACAGGUGUGCUCCACCACACCUGGUUAAUUAAAAAAAUUUUUUGUAGACACAGGGUCUCACUUUGUUGUCCAAGCUGGUCUUGAACUUCUGGAUUUUGGCGAUCCUCCUGCCUUGACUUCACAAAGUGCUCGGAUUACAGGUGUGAGCCACUGCACUUGCCAUUGCAUUACUUUUUAACUUUAUUAAAAUAAAGUUUCAGAAAGGGCAAAAUUAAUCUCUGGUGACAGGGGCCAGAACAGUGAUGACCUGGGGUGGGGUGUGGGUUGGUCUCUCCUGUGAGGUUUGGAAGGGCAGGCAGGAUGGGCUGGAAGCUGGCCCCUCACAUGAAUACGGGGAAUUAGGAAGUGUUUUCUCCUCCACAAUGUUUGGGAGAAUUUGGGGAUUUAUGUCCAUUCUUUAGCAUUUGGUAGAAUUCACCAUCUGGUCCUGGGCUUUUCUUUUGUUGGGAAGCUUUUGAUGACUGGUUCUACCUAUGUGUUUUAGGUUGGUUCAGAUUUUUUCCUUUUUCUUCUUUUUUUGAGGUCAGGUCUCUGUCUCUGCCUCAUUCCUGGCUGGAGUGCAGUGGUGCUGUCAUAGGUCGUUGCAGCUUUGAACUCCUGGGCUCUAGCUAUCCUCCUGCUUCAGCCUCCCAAGUAGCUGGGGCUACAGGCACGUGCCAUGACACCUGGUUGAUUUCUAAAGAUUUUGUCGAGGCAGGGUCUCUGUUGCCCAGGCUGGUCUCGAACUCCUGGCCUCAGGCCAUCCUCCUAACUAGUUCUCCCCAAGUGCUGGGAUCACAGGUGUGAGCCACUGCACCUGGCCCUGUUCAGAUUUUCUAUUUUUCCUGGGACAAUUUUGGUCAUUUGUAUCUUUCUAGGAAUUUUUUUGUUGUUGUUUUGAGACAGAGUCUCACUCUGUCACCCAAGCUGGAGUGCAAUGGCAUGAUCUCAGCUCACUGCAACCUCUGCCUCCUGGGUUCAAGUGAUUUUCCUGCCUCAGCCUCGUGAAUAGCUGGGAUUACAGGUGUGAGCCACCACGCCUGGCUAAUUUUUGUGUUUUUAGUAGAGACAGGGUUUCACCACUUUGGCCAGGUUGGUCUCGAACUUCUGACCUCAGGUGAUCUGCCUGCCUCGGCCUCCCAAAGUGCCGCGAUUACAGGCGUGAGCCACCACACCCAGCCAAGAUGUCGCAUCUUUUUAAAUGUUGGCAUUUGCAGCUAUAAAUUUCCCUCAGAGCAGUUUUUGCCGCAUUCCUUAAGUUCUGGUAUGUUGUUUUCAUCCAUCUCUAUUUCCUAAUUUUUCUCGUGAUUUCUCCUUUGACCCUUUGGCUGUUAAAAAGUGUGUUCAAUUUCUAUGUAUGUGUGAAUUUUCAUUUUCCUUCUGGUAUGGAUUUCUGGUUUUAUUCCAUUGUGAUUGGAGAAGGUGGUUUGCAGGAUUCCGAUCUCUAAUUUACUGAGACUUGCUUUGUGCACUAACGUGUGGUCUGUCCUGGAGAACGUUCCCUGUGCACUUAGAAACGUGUGUUCUGCUGCUAUUGGGUGGAGCACUGUUAAGUCUGGUCAGCCUUUUGGUUUUUAUGUAAUACUUGGCACAUUCACAAGAAAAUGUGUGAAACAGAAAGUACGACAAAGUGAAACCCACGAAGCCACCACUGACCCUGAGGUUCAAAACCUCCAGCAUCUCUGCUCUUCCCUAAGCACAGCUCCGUCCCCUCCCCACGGGUGAGCACUGUGUUGUACUGACUCCCUGCCCUCCCUGAUGACUUUAGCACCUGGGUAUGAAUUCCACACAUAUUUGGUUUUGAGCUUUAUAAAAAUGGCAUCAUACUGUAUGAACUGUCUUGCUUUUUCAUCCCACGUUGUUUCUGAGAGGUGUUUGUGAUGGAGCACAGGGCCAC
rnacentral:lncRNA from 1 species